ACGGGAGGCAGCAGUGGGGAAUAUUGGACAAUGGAGGAAACUCUGAUCCAGCGACGCCGCGUGAGUGAAGAAGUAUUUCGGUAUGUAAAGCUCUAUCAGCAGGGAAGAUAAUGACGGUACCUGACUAAGAAGCCCCGGCUAACUACGUGCCAGCAGCCGCGGUAAUACGUAGGGGGCAAGCGUUAUCCGGAUUUACUGGGUGUAAAGGGAGCGUAGACGGCUUUGCAAGUCUGAUGUGAAAGCCCGGGGCUUAACCCCGGGACUGCAUUGGAAACUGUAGAGCUUGAGUGCAGGAGAGGUAAGUGGAAUUCCUAGUGUAGCGGUGAAAUGCGUAGAUAUUAGGAGGAACACCAGUGGCGAAGGCGGCUUACUGGACUGUAACUGACGUUGAGGCUCGAAGGCGUGGGGAGCAAACAGGAUUAGAUACCCUGGUA
rnacentral:rRNA from 1 species